rnacentral:rRNA from 1 species
UACGGGGGGGAGCAAGCGUUGUUCGGAUUUACUGGGCGUAAAGGGCGCGUAGGCGGUCAGCACAAGUCAGUUGUGAAAUCUCCGGGCUUAACUCGGAAAGGUCAACUGAUACUGUGCGACUAGAGUGCGGAAGGGGCAACUGGAAUUCUCGGUGUAGCGGUGAAAUGCGUAGAUAUCUGGAGGAACACCGGUGGCGAAGGCGGCAUCCUGGACCGGCAUUGACGCUGAGGCGCGAAAGCCAGGGGAGCAAAGCGGG